UACAGAGGUCUCAAGCGUUGUUCGGAUUCAUUGGGCGUAAAGGGUGCGUAGGCGGCGCGGUAAGUCGGGUGUGAAAUCUUGGAGCUUAACUCCGAAACUGCAUUCGAUACUGCCGUGCUUGAGGACUGGAGAGGAGACUGGAAUUCCCGGUGUAGUGGUGAAAUGCGUAGAGAUCGGGAGGAACACCCGUGGCGAAGGCGGCCAACUGGGCCGGACCUGACGCUGAGGCGCGAAGGCGUGGGGAGCGAACGGG
rnacentral:rRNA from 1 species